rnacentral:lncRNA from 1 species
UCACGUACAUCAGUAUCUGCAAAGCUAAAGCAUUGCUGUCCCGGUAGCAAUCAGUUGCUCAACAUCCUGACACAGAUUUUGGCUGAUAAAAUAGUUGCUGGGCAAAUGCAGCUGUAAACAGAACUUGGGUUUUGAUAAAAGUUACAUCUAAUGCAAUUGUCAUGUAAAGCUUCAGUAAACACAGCUUUCUAAAAAUUCUCUGAUAGUUUUCAUUUGCAUUUCAGGCUCAUGGAGACUGCUGCCUCAACAGUGUGGAAAUAAAAUCCUCUGUAAAGCCUGAGUCCAUUUCUUCUCAUCCUGUCACUUGCUGCCUGAGAGAAGAGACCAACCCUCACCUGGCUACAACUUCCUUUCAGGGAACAUGCAACUUUCUCCUGGUAAAUGAACUUGGACACACUUCAGCCCCCAGUUAAUACAGCAGGAACUGCAUGUACAAGCAGGUCCAAGUAAGUCCGGGGUGGAUCUAGCUUCACUGUCUCUGAUUAUAUCUGUGGGCAAAAGAAGAGAGAGGAAGAAAGAGAAAAAACAUUGUCAGACUGACAAGGUUAGACCAAAACUAAGCAAGGAGGAAAACAGCUCUUCUACUCCAGGAUGUGAAUAGCAGAAAGUGCUUCUCAUUAUUUCAUCCAUAGCUGUCUUCUUAAAAGCACACUAAGGUUUUGCAUCACCUUGGUAACUGUAGAUCUUGGAGCAGAUGUUUUAAAUACGAUAAAGACAAUGGCAGUAUGUCCUCUUGCUAUGAAACUCCCAGCAAGUGGACGUGGUCCAGAAUUCCAUUCCAGAAGAUGAUUUCACAACAGUGAAUUAAAUCAGGAUUUCUACUCAC